rnacentral:rRNA from 1 species
AACGAACGUUGGCGGCGUGGAUUAGGCAUGCAAGUCGUACGCGAAAGAGGGGGCAACUCCUCGAGUAAAGUGGCGAACGGGUGAGUAACGCGUAGGAAACCUGCCUUCGAGAUGGGGAUAACACUCCUAACGGGGUGCUAAUACCGAAUGACACUGCGGGAUCGCAUGGUUCUGCAGUCAAAGGUGGCCUCUGCUUGCAAGCUACCACUCAAAGAUGGUCCUG